AGUAACGCGUGAGGAACCUGCCUCAAAGAGGGGGACAACAGUUGGAAACGACUGCUAAUACCGCAUAAGCCCACAGCUCGGCAUCGGGCAGAGGGAAAAGGAGUGAUCCGCUUUGAGAUGGCCUCGCGUCCGAUUAGCUAGUUGGUGAGGUAAUGGCCCACCAAGGCGACGAUCGGUAGCCGGACUGAGAGGUUGAACGGCCACAUUGGGACUGAGACACGGCCCAG
rnacentral:rRNA from 1 species